rnacentral:rRNA from 1 species
GUAUCCUGGCUCAGGAUGAACGCUAGCGGCAGGCUUAACACAUGCAAGUCGAGGGGCAGCAUAAUGGAUAGCAAUAUCUAUGGUGGCGACCGGCGCACGGGUGCGUAACGCGUAUGCAACCUACCUUUAACAGGGGGAUAACACUGAGAAAUUGGUACUAAUACCCCAUAAUAUCAUAGAAGGCAUCUUUUANGGUUUGAAAAUUCCGAUGGUUAGAGAUGGGCAUGCGUUGUAUUAG